rnacentral:rRNA from 1 species
CCCUUAGAUGUUCUGGGCUGCACGCGCGCUACACUGAAGCGUUCAACGAGUAUUCACCUUGGCCGAAAGGUCUGGGUAAUCUCCAAAUUUCGUCGUGAUGGGGAUAGAUUAUUGCAAUUAUUAAUCUUCAACGAGGAAUGCCUAGUAAGCGCAAGUCAUCAGCUUGCGUUGAUUACGUCCCUGCCCUUUGUACACACCGCCCGUCGCUCCUACCGAUUGAAUGGUCCGGUGAAGCGUUCGGACCGUGGCCUUUGGACGGUUCGCCGUCUGUUGGCUGCGGGAAGUUCGUUAAACCUUAUCAUUUAGAGGAAGGAGAAGUCGUAACA